GGAAGGAGGACCCUGUAGGUGAUGAGGUCACUAGCAGGUGCGCACUGGACUGAGCCCUGAAGGAUGCGGGCAUCACCCAGGCCCGGGGCUGCGCCAGGGCCCUGAGCAGCC